GACUUGAAAUACGGGUCAAACAAGAAAAAGUUAUGUUCUCUCUUUCCCUUAACCAAGCACUAAUAACUGUGAUACUCGUUUGCCUUGUUAAUUACAAGUAAUUUAGGUCUAACACUUGCUAGAGAGUCCAAGGAGGCCUUCAUGUUGUUAACUGAUAUAUACACAUCAGCAUUGUUUUGGAUACAUGUCAGCAUGAAUGUUUACACAUCAGCAAGGCAGUUAGGUGACACAUGAACAAGGCAGUUAGGGUGUUUGUUAAGAUUGUAGAAAUAUAAGGAAGUUAGUUAGUUAGUUGCUUUAGUUAGUCAGUUGCUUAUCUCUGAAGCAAAUGAUAGAUGUAUAAAUACUGACUUCCUUUUCUCUGUAAUUCAUUCGAGUAAUGCAAUCUUCGGUCGUUCAUUCCCUCUCUAAACAUUAUGUGAUUGUUCUUCUUUUCAUUCUUCUCCUUUUACUGCCAUUCAUAGCUUAUUGUUAAUAUGGUAUCAUCGCCGGGGGUCGAUCCGUGGUGAUUUUCCGUUUUUCCGCCUCGCGAUUUGUCGUUCUUCUGUUGGUUUAGAUGAUUUGUUGUUCUUGGUGCAGUUUCUUGGUGAUUGAAUCAUGGGGUUUCAACAGAGAAAAGGCCGAUUGCCGGAGUAUGAAAUCUUGAUUGAAGGCCGAUUGCCAUAUUGUUGUUUAGUCAUCUCUCUUCUUUGAAGGCCGAUUGUCGAAGAGGGUUCUGCUUUCUUGAUAGAAUCUUGGUGUGUUGAAGGCUGUUUGUCGACGAAGUCUUGUUCUUAAUUGUAAACUUGAAAGAGUCUUGUUGGUGUGUAAUCUUGAUAUCUGUGAUUGUGGAGUUCUCUAUUGAACUUUCUUGAUUGUGGCCAUAUAAGAAUUUGGUAGUAGUAAGCAUGAUGUCUAAGUGUACAGUGGAAUCUGUGAAGAUUGAAGGACUUCUAGGAAUGCUAAUUGUGAAAUUACAAGAUGAUAACUUUGUUAAAUGGAGUUUUCAGUUUCAAUCAGUUCUGUGUGGAUAUGAUUUGUUCGAUUUCUUUACUGGUGAUAAUCCAUGUCCACCAAAAUUUGUAAUUCGUUCUGAAACUGGAGUUACCAAGGAGUUCACUACUGCAUACAAGAACUAGGUGAAAAAGGAUAUGGCUUUACUUAGCCUGUUAAUUGCUAUGUUAUCUGAUGAUGCCAUGGAGCAUGUUAUUGGGUGUAAAACAUCACAGGAAGCAUGGAGUGCAUUGCAAGAUCGGUUUGCAACUGUUUCAAUCUCACGAAUUAAUCAGCUAAAAACUGAAUUUCAUACUGCACAAAAAGAAGGUGAUUAUGUUGACAAGUUUUUGCUGAGAUUGAAGACUAUAAGAGAUCAACUAAUUUCUGCAGGUGAAAGGGUGUCAGAAAAUGAUCUUAUUAUUGCUGCAUUAACUGGUUUGUCACAGGAGUUUCACAUGAUUAUGACAGUGAUAUGGGCAAGGGAAAAUCCUAUGUCUCUAAAGGAUUUCAGGGCUCAACUUCUUAGUGUUGAAUUGACUAUUGAGUUCAGGAUUACAUCUCUCACAAAUACAAUGUCUGCAAUGUAUAAAUGGUGACAAAUCUAAUGGUGACAGGUCCAAUGGCUUCAAUGGGAUGUAUCAGGGUAAGAGUUCUAACAUGGGAUCAAAUAGCUAUCAAUGAGGUUUUGGCACUGGUACAUAUCAAGGGAAUGGCACUUAUCAAGGUGAAAGCUCUGCUAUGGGUGCAGCAAACAACUAUCAGGGAGGCUAUGGAUUCAUUGGGAACAAUCAAAGACCUUUCAAUUCUCAGAAUAAUCGUGGGACAUUCAAUUCAAAUAGGAACCCUAAACCAUACUUUGGUAACAAAUACAAGGGCAAUAGUGGCUUUUCUUCUUAUCAGGGCAAGGGAUCACAAUCUGGUUUUAGUGGUCAGUCUUCAAAUAGUGGUUCUAAAAAUGGAUCUACUUGGCAGAGUUGGAAUGGCAAUACAAAUUUUAGAUCCUCUAUUACACCUAAAUGCCAGAUUCGCUUUCGAAUAGGACAUACUACUCUUAAUUGUCAUUUUAGAAGUUCAUAUGGUUCAAAUGUCAUUCAAUAUCAACUCUUGGUAUGCCAGAUAUGUGGAAAGAAAGGCCAUGCCGCUUUGGACUGCUAUCAUAGGAAUAACUAUACUUAUCAGGGAGCACCACCACCACCAUCAACAAUCACUGCAAUGUCUACUCAAGGUUCAUAGGGCUUUACUCAACAAAGAGAUGAUUCAUAACCACAUGGGUUUUCUGCUGUUGAUACAUGGGUGUUGGACACUGGUGCCACACAUCACAUGACAGCCAAUGUCAAUACUCUUAAUCAAGUCACUGCUUAUAAUGGAGAAGAAAAGAUAAUCAUAGGCAAUGAUCAAGGUUUGGAUGUGAAACAUAUUGGUUCAACAACAUUACUUACUCCAACAACUUUCUUAUACUUGAAAAAUGUUUUAUGUGUUCCCAAUAUUGCUGUCAAUCUUUUAUCAGUGAAGAAAUUGUGUCAUGAUAAUGGAUGCUGGUUUAUUUGUGAUGAUUGUGUGUUUUUCAUAUAGGACAAGGUAACCAAUGUGAUUUUCUAACAAGGAAUGAGUGAUGGGGAUCUCUUUACCAUACAUAUGACAAUGUUUUCAAGAUCGAAGUUGAGUGAUGGGGAUUUCAUCCAUCUGAAGAGAUAUUACCAGCUAUGUUAAAGUCAGCUUAAGUACCAGUUACCAUAGAUUCUUCAUAGUCAGUAUGUUCAUCAUGUAUUUCAAGCAAAAUGUGUAGGCAAUCAUUUCCUGUAAAACAUAGUAGUGCAAGUUUUAUGUUUGAAAGAGUACAUUCAGAUGUAUGGGGGCUUUCUCCAAAAAAUGUCAAUUGAAGGUUAUAAAUAUUACAUUAGUUUCAUUGAUGAAUAUUUAAGGUUUCUGUGGA